AUUGAACGCUGGCGGCAUGCUUUACACAUGCAAGUCGAACGGCAGCGGGGAGGAGCUUGCUUCUCUGCCGGCGAGUGGCGAACGGGUGAGUAAUACAUCGGAACGUGUCGAGAAGAGGGGGAUAACCACCCGAAAGGGUGGCUAAUACCGCAUAAAUUCUGAGGAAGAAAGCUGGGGACCUAGGAAUAGGCCUAGCGCUUUUUGAGCGGCCGAUGUCGGAUUAGCUAGUUGGUGAGGUAAAGGCUCACCAAGGCGAAGAUCUGUAGCGGGUCUGAGAGGAUGAUCCGCCACACUGGGACUGAGACACGGCCCAGACUCCUACGGGAGGCAGCAGUGGGGAAUGUUGGACAAUGGGGGCAACCCUGAUCCAGCCAUGCCGCGUGUAUGAAGAAGGCCUUAGGGUUGUAAAGUACUUUUGUUAGGGAAGAAAAGUCAGCUGUGAAUAAUGGCUGAUACUGACGGUACCUAAAGAAUAAGCACCGGCUAACUACGUG
rnacentral:rRNA from 1 species